CAGAAUGUACUGUAUUUCCAACUAGUGUAACUGCUUUUUUUUAAAGAAAUACAUGCACACUUAUACUGUACAUCAGAUAUGUAACAUUAUGGACAUGAAAUGGUACAAGUCUCUACAUUAAAAUCCCUUUCAACGUUUAUAACGGAGGUGUAAGAGGUAUUCAUGUUUGCUCUCGGUAGAGAAGGAGCUUGUCGCAAGCUGUGAGGCAUCCUUAAUUUCGCAAGAUGUUACAAGCAUGCUCUCUUGUAAAGAUAAUGAAGAAAACUAAAUUUCCUUCAUUAGGUAACUAAAGCACAUUAAGCGCAUGGUAAUUUUUUCCUAGUGUUUGCACGCAACAGCUUUUCUUUUUUCCUCCUUUUACGUGUAGUAGCAGCAUGUUUUUUUAAGUUUAUAAAAAACAGGCCUAGUUCAUUUCAAGCACAUCAGUCAUGCACCUGGGAAGAGGGUAUUAAAAAUUGCUUAGUUCCUGCUGUGGAUUAUUUUCGUUUUAAACAGGAAAUCAGCUUUGUUGUUUCAAAAAAAAACAACCCUGAAACUGAAAUUCAUCAAGAGCUUUUGAGCAAUGAAAGAGGCCAUUUUUUUGUGACCCAAUUCCUCCUUCGUCUGUGAGGAAGAGUAGAAUAUUCAGAUCUGAGGUACAACAUAAACACUUAUCAAUUUUCUGCUUACACUGAACAUGCGUAAGCAACUUUUCAACUUUUUUGUUUGGAUCAGAAAGUAAAAAGAUUCUGCAUCUGGCAGUCCAGUUGGGACAGAAACCCUCUGACAUUUGAGUUCUGCAGGAUCAGGACUGGAAAUUCCAGAUAUCCACAGCAUUUCAGUCUAGCCUAGACUGUAUUGGCAGCCUGCCUCCCUCCAGCUGUAAUUUAGAAACUUUUUGAUGCAUGAACUCUUGUUUACACUGUAAUACAUUAUUUCUUAUGCCAAAGAAAAGAGCCUGUAUAAAUAGUCCUGCUGAUACUCUACUGGGUUUCUCUGUCAACAUGGAAAACUGAUUGAAAACUGUUACCGCUAUUGUGCUAGAAUACUAUUAAUGUGAGUAUUGUUCAGUCUCCAUGUAGACUGGCUUCCAGCAGUGUGUACUUUUGGCUUGGAAGCAGGGCACUUUGGGGAAAGGAACAAUUUUUGUUUCAAGAGGGAGACGCUUGAUGCCAAAAAAAUGAUUGCAAAGGCCGGUGCUGCAUACCUGUUUUGACGUUUCUCUGUAAAGGGAUCCCUUCCUCUCCCUUUGCAGUGUAAGGCACCACAGUAAUAAGCUUGUGAAAGAACAGCAAUGAAGCCCCACCUCCACCUCCCACCUUUGUUCAAAGGGUUAGCGAGGAGCGAUGUUCAUGCAACAAA